CCUACGGGCGGCAGCAGUGGGGAAUAUUGCACAAUGGGGGAAACCCUGAUGCAGCGACGCCGCGUGAGCGAUGAAGUAUUUCGGUAUGUAAAGCUCUAUCAGCAGGGAAGAAAAUGACGGUACCUGACUAAGAAGCCACGGCUAACGACGUGCCAGCAGCCGCGGUAAUACGGAGGGGGCAAGCGUUAUCCGGCUUUACUGGGUGUAAAGGGAGCGUAGGCGGUCCAGCAAGCCAGAUGUGAAAGCCCGGGGCUCAACCCCGGGACUGCAGUUGGAACUGUAAGGCUAGAGUACAGGGGGGGCAGGCGGAAUUCCUAGUGUAGCGGUGAAAUGCGUAGAUAUUAGGAGGAACACCGGUGGCGCAGGCGGCCUGCUGGACUGUGCCUGACGUUGAGGCCCGAAUGCGUGGGGAGCAAACAGGAUUAGAUACCCGAGUAGUC
rnacentral:rRNA from 1 species